rnacentral:rRNA from 1 species
GGGAGUACACGAGCGGCGAACGGGUGAGUAACACGUGAGCAAUCUGCCCUUCUCUUCGGAAUAACCAUUGGAAACGAUGGCUAAUGCCGAAUACGACCUCCCUUCGCAUGUUGGGAGGUGGAAAGCUCCGGCGGAGAAGGAUGAGCUCGCGGCCUAUCAGCUUGUUGGCGGGGUAACGGCCCACCAAGGCAACGACGGGUAGCCGGCCUGAGAGGGUGACCGGCCACACUGGGACUGAGACACGGCCCAGACUCCUACGGGAGGCAGCAGUGGGGAAUAUUGGACAAUGGGCGAAAGCCUGAUCCAGCAACGCCGCGUGAGGGAUGACGGCCUUCGGGUUGUAAACCUCUUUCAGCAGGGACGAAGCGAAAGUGACGGUACCUGCAGAAGAAGGACCGGCCAACUACGUGCCAGCAGCCGCGGUAAUACGUAGGGUCCGAGCGUUGUCCGGAAUUAUUGGGCGUAAAGGGCUCGUAGGCGGUUUGUCGCGUCGGGAGUGAAAACUCAGGGCUUAACCCUGAGCGUGCUUCCGAUACGGGCAGACUAGAGGGAUGCAGGGGAGAACGGAAUUCCUGGUGUAGCGGUGGAAUGCGCAGAUAUCAGGAGGAACACCGGUGGCGAAGGCGGUUCUCUGGGCAUUACCUGACGCUGAGGAGCGAAAGCAUGGGGAGCGAACAGGAUUAGAUACCCUGGUAGUCCAUGCCGUAAACGUUGGGCGCUAGGUGUGGGGACCUUCCACG